rnacentral:rRNA from 1 species
UACAGAGGUCCCGAGCGUUGUUCGGAUUCACUGGGCGUAAAGGGUGCGUAGGUGGUGAGGUAAGUCGGAUGUGAAAUCUCCGGGCUUAACCCGGAAAUGGCAUUGGAAACUACCUUGCUAGAGGAUUUGAGGGGGGAUUGGAAUACUUGGUGUAGCAGUGAAAUGUGUAGAUAUCAAGUGGAACACCAGUGGCGAAGGCGAAUCCCUGGAAAAUACCUGACACUGAGGCACGAAAGCUAGGGGAGCAAACAGG